UUUUUCCUACGGGGCGCAGCAGUGGGGAAUAUUGCACAAUGGGGGAAACCCUGAUGCAGCAACGCCGCGUGAAGGAAGACGGUUUUCGGAUUGUAAACUUCUUUUCUUAGUGAAGAAGCAAGUGACGGUAGCUAAGGAAUAAGCAUCGGCUAACUACGUGCCAGCAGCCGCGGUAAUACGUAGGAUGCGAGCGUUAUCCGGAAUUACUGGGUGUAACGGGAGCGCAGGCGGGACUGCAAGUUGAGUUUGAAAUACCGCAGCUUAACUACGGACCUGCAU
rnacentral:rRNA from 1 species